rnacentral:hammerhead_ribozyme from 1 species
ACCUAGAUGACGAGUCGAAAAUAGGACGAAAUGCGCUUUAUCCUGGAU